rnacentral:tRNA from 1 species
CCGCCGCCCUGCCCGGCGGGCGCCUCGCUGUCGGCGAGGCAGACGAUCGAUGUGUUCGACGCCGAUGCACCGGC